rnacentral:misc_RNA from 1 species
UACGGAGGGUGCAAGCGUUGUCCGGAAUUAUUGGGUUUAAAGGGUCCGUAGGCGGGUUAAUAAGUCAGUGGUGAAAGUCUGCAGCUCAACUGUAGAACUGCCAUUGAUACUGCACACCUUGAGUAAUUAUGAAGUGGUUAGAAUAUGUAGUGUAGCGGUGAAAUGCAUAGAUAUUACAUAGAAUACCGAUUGCGAAGGCAGAUCACUAAUAAUGUACUGACGCUGAGGGACGAAAGCGUAGGUAGCGAACAGG